AGUGAACGCUGGCGGUAGGCCUAACACAUGCAAGUCGAACGGCAGCACAGUAAGAGCUUGCUCUUACGGGUGGCGAGUGGCGGACGGGUGAGGAAUACAUCGGAAUCUACUUUUUCGUGGGGGAUAACGUAGGGAAACUUACGCUAAUACCGCAUACGACCUACGGGUGAAAGCAGGGGAUCUUCGGACCUUGCGCGAUUGAAUGAGCCGAUGUCGGAUUAGCUAGUUGGCGGGGUAAAGGCCCACCAAGGCGACGAUCCGUAGCUGGUCUGAGAGGAUGAUCAGCCACACUGGAACUGAGACACGGUCCAGACUCCUACGGGAGGCAGCAGUGGGGAAUAUUGGACAAAGGGCGCAAGCCUGAUCCAGCCAUACCGCGUGGGUGAAGAAGGCCUUCGGGUUGUAAAGCCCUUUUGUUGGGAAAAAAAAGCAGCAGGUUAAUACCCCGCUGUUCUGACGGUACCCAAAGAAUAAGCACCGGCUAACUUCGUG
rnacentral:rRNA from 1 species